rnacentral:rRNA from 1 species
CUUACGGGUGGCAGCAGUGGGGAAUAUUGCGCAAUGGGCGAAAGCCUGACGCAGCGACGCCGCGUGAGGGAUGAAGGUCUUCGGAUCGUAAACCUCUGUCAGCAGGGAAGAACGGUCACUUUGCUAAUCAGCAGUGAAUUGACGGUACCUGCAAAGGAAGCACCGGCUAACUCCGUGCCAGCAGCCGCGGUAAUACGGGGGGUGCGAGCGUUAACCGGAAUUACUGGGCGUAAAGCGCUCGUAGGCGGAAUGACAAGUCAAGGGGGAAAUCCCCGCGCUCAACGUGGGAACUGCCUGUGAAACUGGCAACCUGGAGUGUGUGAGAGGAUAGUGGAAUUCCUGGUGGAGGAGUGAAAUCCGUAGAUAUCUGGAGGAACAUCAGUGGCGAAGGCGAAUAUCUGGAACAUAACUGACGCUGAGGAGCGAAAGCGUGGGUAGCAAACAGGAUUAGAUACCCGAGUAGUC